UACGUAGGGUGCGAGCGUUGUCCGGAAUUAUUGGGCGUAAAGAGCUCGUAGGCGGCUUGUCGCGUCGACUGUGAAAUCCCGCGGCUCAACUGCGGGUCUGCAGUCGAUACGGGCAGGCUAGAGUUCGGUAGGGGAGACUGGAAUUCCUGGUGUAGCGGUGAAAUGCGCAGAUAUCAGGAGGAACACCGAUGGCGAAGGCAGGUCUCUGGGCCGAUACUGACGCUGAGGAGCGAAAAGCCGUGGGGAGCGAACAGG
rnacentral:rRNA from 1 species